GACGAACGCUGGCGGCGUGCUUAACACAUGCAAGUCGAACGGAAAGGCCCUGCAUUUGUGGGGUGCUCGAGUGGCGAACGGGUGAGUAACACGUGAGUAACCUGCCCUUGACUUUGGGAUAACUUCAGGAAACUGGGGCUAAUACCGGAUAGGAGCUCCUGCUGCAUGGUGGGGGUGGGAAAGUUUCGGCGGUUGGGGAUGGACUCGCGGCUUAUCAGCUUGUUGGUGGGGUAGUGGCUUACCAAGGCUUUGACGGGUAGCCGGCCUGAGAGGGUGACCGGCCACAUUGGGACUGAGGUACGGCCCAGACUCCUACGGGAGGCAGCAGUGGGGAAUAUUGCACAAUGGGCGGAAGCCUGAUGCAGCAACGCCGCGUGCGGGAUGACGGCCUUCGGGUUGUAAACCGCUUUCGCCUGUGACGAAGCGUGAGUGACGGUAAUGGGUAAAGAAGCACCGGCUAACUACGUG
rnacentral:rRNA from 1 species